rnacentral:rRNA from 1 species
CAGUAGCCGCGGUAAUACGAGGGGGGCAAGCGUUGUUCGGAAUUAUUGGGCGUAAAGGGUGCGUAGGCGGUUUGAUAAGUCAUCUGUGAAAUCUCUGGGCUCAACCCAGAGUCUGCAGGCGAAACUGUCGGGCUUGAGUAUGGGAGAGGUGAGUGGAAUUUCCGGUGUAGCGGUGAAAUGCGUAGAUAUCGGAAGUGACACCUGUGGCGAAAGCGGCUCACUGGACCAUAACUGACGCUGAUGCACGAAAGCUAGGGGAGCAAACAGGAUUAGAUACCCGCGUAGUCCCUGUCUCUUAUAC